AGACUCCUACGGGAGGCAGCAGUAAGGAAUAUUGGGCAAUGGACGCAAGUCUGACCCAGCCAUGCCGCGUGCAGGAAGACGGCCCUAUGGGUUGUAAACUGCUUUUAUCAGGGAAUAAACCCCCGGAUGUAUCCGGGGCUGAAUGUACCUGAAGAAUAAGCAUCGGCUAACUCCGUGCCAGCAGCCGCGGUAAUACGGAGGAUGCAAGCGUUAUCCGGAUUCAUUGGGUUUAAAGGGUGCGCAGGCGGAUUAUUAAGUCAGUGGUGAAAUCCUACAGCUCAACUGUAGAACUGCCAUUGAUACUGAUAAUCUUGAGUAUAUUUGAAGUGGGCGGAAUGUAGCAUGUAGCGGUGAAAUGCAUAGAUAUGCUACAGAACACCAAUUGCGAAGGCAGCUCACUAAACUAUAACUGACGCUCAUGCACGAAAGCGUGGGGAUCAAACAGGAUUAGAUACCCUGGUAGUCCACGCUGUAAACGAUGAUUACUCGUUGUUGGCGAUACACAGUCAGCGACCAAGCGAAAGUGAUAAGUAAUCCACCUGGGGAGUACGAUCGCAAGGUUGAAACUCAAAGGAAUUGACGGGGGCCCGCACAAGCGGUGGAGCAUGUGGUUUAAUUCGAUGAUACGCGAGGAACCUUACCUGGGCUCAAAUGUAUGUUGACGUAUUCUGAAAGGGAUACUUCUUCGGACAAUAUACAAGGUGCUGCAUGGUUGUCGUCAGCUCGUGCCGUGAGGUGUCGGGUUAAGUCCCAUAACGAGCGCAACCCCUAUCAUUAGUUGCCAUCAGGUCAAGCUGGGGACUCUAAUGAAACUGCCUACGCAAGUAGUGAGGAAGGUGGGGAUGACGUCAAAUCAGCACGGCCCUUACGUCCAGGGCUACACACGUGCUACAAUGGCCGGUACAAAGGGCAGCUACCUGGUGACAGGAUGCU
rnacentral:rRNA from 1 species